AACGAACGCUGGCGGCAUGCCUAACACAUGCAAGUCGAACGAGAUCUUCGGGUCUAGUGGCGCACGGGUGCGUAACGCGUGGGAAUCUGCCCUUUGGUUCGGAAUAACAGUUGGAAACGACUGCUAAUACCGGAUGAUGACGAAAGUCCAAAGAUUUAUCGCCAGAGGAUGAGCCCGCGUAGGAUUAGCUAGUUGGUGUGGUAAAGGCGCACCAAGGCGACGAUCCUUAGCUGGUCUGAGAGGAUGAUCAGCCACACUGGGACUGAGACACGGCCCAACCUCCUACGGGAGGCAGCAGUGGGGAAUAUUGGACAAUGGGCGAAAGCCUGAUCCAGAAAUGCCGCGUGAGUGAUGAAGGCCUUAGGGUUGUAAAGCUUUUUUACCGGGGACGAUAAUGACAGUACCGGGAGAAUAAGCUCCGGCUAACUCCGUGCCAGCAGCCGCGGUAA
rnacentral:rRNA from 1 species